AGUGAACGCUGGCGGCAGGCCUAAUACAUGCAAGUCGAACGGCAGCACAGCAGAGCUUGCUCUGUGGGUGGCGAGUGGCGGACGGGUGAGGAAUACAUGGGAAUCUGCCCAGUCGUGGGGGAUAACGUAUGGAAACGUACGCUAAUACCGCAUGCGCCCUUUGGGGGAAAGCCGGGGACCUUCGGGCCUGGCGCGAUUGGAUGAGCCCAUGUUCGAUUAGCUAGUUGGCGGGGUAAAGGCCCACCAAGGCGACGAUCGAUAGCUGGUCUGAGAGGAUGAUCAGCCACACUGGGACUGAGACACGGCCCAGACUCCUACGGGAGGCAGCAGUAGGGAAUAUUGGACAAUGGGCGCAAGCCUGAUCCAGCCAUGCCGCGUGAGUGAAGAAGGCCCUCGGGUUGUAAAGCUCUUUUGUCCGGAAAGAAAAGCAUACGGUUAAUACCCGGGUGUUCUGACGGUACCGGAAGAAUAAGCACCGGCUAACUUCGUG
rnacentral:rRNA from 1 species